rnacentral:rRNA from 1 species
GAUGAACGCUGGCGGCGUGCCUAAUACAUGCAAGUCGAGCGAACGGACGAGAAGCUUGCUUCUCUGAUGUUAGCGGCGGACGGGUGAGUAACACGUGGAUAACCUACCUAUAAGACUGGGAUAACUUCGGGAAACCGGCGCUAAUACCGGAUGAUAUUUUGAACCGCAUGGUUCAAAAGUGAAAGACGGUCUUGCUGUCACUUAUAGAUGGAUCCGCGCUGCAUUAGCUAGUUGGUAAGGUAACGGCUUACCAAGGCCACGAUGCAUAGCCGACCUGAGAGGGUGAUCGGCCACACUGGAACUGAGACACGGUCCAGACUCCUACGGGAGGCAGCAGUAGGGAAGCUUCCGCAAUGGGCGAAAGCCUGACGGAGCAACGCCGCGUGAGUGAUGAAGGUCUUCGGAUCGUAAAACUCUGUUAUUAGGGAAGAACAUAUGUGUAAGUAACUGUGCACAUCUUGACGGUACCUAAUCAGAAAGCCACGGCUAACUACGUG